rnacentral:rRNA from 1 species
CGUGAGCGGCGGACGGGGGAGUAACGCGUGGGUAACCGUGCCUCAUACAGGGGAGUAACAGUUGGAAACGGCUGCUAAUACCGCAUAAGCGCACAGUACCGCAUGGUACGGUGUGAAAAACUCCGGUGGUAUGAGAUGGACCCGCGUCUGAUUAGGUAGUUGGUGGGGUAACGGCCUACCAAGCCGACGAUCAGUAGCCGACCUGAGAGGGUGACCGGCCACAUUGGGACUGAGAUACGGCCCAA